rnacentral:ncRNA from 1 species
AUAAUGAUACUUCCGGCAAUAGUCGGUCUGAAGAAGAUGGUGAAAUUCCAAUGU